UGCGUGUAUAUAUAAUUGUUAUUGACACUCUAGACCCAAAAUGCUCAAAACUUGGUAUGGUGUUACUCGUUAAGAAUAUCUUAAGCGCUAUUGACUUUAAAGUUCAAAGGUCGAGGUCACAGUGGCAGUUGUAAUACAAGGCAAUAUCACCCUUGUAGACACUCUAAAACCAAUAUGCUUCAAAAGAUUUUAACCACAUUUAGUAUAUUGUUCCUCCUUGUAAUGAUCUGACAUUUUUUACGUUCAAGGCCAA
rnacentral:lncRNA from 1 species